AGUGAACGCUGGCGGUAGGCCUAACACAUGCAAGUCGAACGGCAGCACAGUAAGAGCUUGCUCUUACGGGUGGCGAGUGGCGGACGGGUGAGGAAUACAUCGGAAUCUACUUUUUCGUGGGGGAUAACGUAGGGAAACUUACGCUAAUACCGCAUACGACAUACGGGUGAAAGCAGGGGAUCUUCGGACCUUGCGCGAUUGAUUGAGCCGAUGUCGGAUUAGCUAGUUGGCGGGGUAAAGGCCCACCAAGGCGACGAUCCGUAGCUGGUCUGAGAGGAUGAUCAGCCACACUGGAACUGAGACACGGUCCAGACUCCUACGGGAGGCAGCAGUGGGGAAUAUUGGACAAGGGGCGCAAGCCUGAUCCAGCCAUACCGCGUGGGUGAAGAAGGCCUUCGGGUUGUAAAGCCCUUUUGUUGGGAAAGAAAAGCAGCAGGUUAAUACCCCGCUGUUCUGACGGUACCCAAAGAAUAAGCACCGGCUAACUUCGUG
rnacentral:rRNA from 1 species